ensembl:snRNA U4 U4 spliceosomal RNA
AGCUUUGUAUAGUGGCAGUAUCGUAGCCAAUGAGGUUUAUCCGAGGCAUGAUUAUUGCUAAUUGAAAACUUGAACUCCAUUAUGUACAAAAUUUAUACAACUACAGCAGGUUUCUCCUAAUUUAUUUUAGCAUGAUAUAUCUGUC